AUUGAACGCUGGCGGCAUGCCUUACACAUGCAAGUCGGACGGCAGCGCGGGAGCAAUCCUGGCGGCGAGUGGCGAACGGGUGAGUAAUACAUCGGAACAUGUCCAGUAGUGGGGGAUAGCCCGGCGAAAGCCGGAUUAAUACCGCAUACGAUCUAUGGAUGAAAGCGGGGGAUCGCAAGACCUCGCGCUAUUGGGGUGGCCGAUGGCGGAUUAGCUAGUUGGUGGGGUAAAGGCCUACCAAGGCGACGAUCCGUAGCUGGUCUGAGAGGACGACCAGCCACACUGGGACUGAGACACGGCCCAGACUCCUACGGGAGGCAGCAGUGGGGAAUUUUGGACAAUGGGGGCAACCCUGAUCCAGCAAUGCCGCGUGUGUGAAGAAGGCCUUCGGGUUGUAAAGCACUUUUGUCCCGGGAAAGAAAUUCCCCUGCCCCUAAUUACGGCGGGGGGA
rnacentral:rRNA from 1 species